AGGGAAUAGAUACCCAGGUAGUCCACGCCGUAAACGAUGCGCACUAGGUAUGCCUGACUCUGACGUCCGGCGAGCCGAAAAACAAAAGCGUUAAGUGCGCCGCCUGGGGAGUACGGCCGCAAGGCUAAAACUCAAAGGAAUUGACGGGGGCUCACACAAGCGGUGGAUGAUGUGGCUCAAUUCGAAGCAACGCGAAGAACCUUACCCGGGUUUGACAUGCUAGGAUUAGUUCUGUGAAAGCAGAAUGACACGGCUUGCCGUGGAACUAGCACAGGUGCUGCAUGGCUGUCGUCAGCUCGUGCUGUGAAGUGUCGGGUUAAGUCCCUUAACGAGCGAAACCCUUGUCGCUAGUUGCCAGCGCGUAAUGGCGGGCACUUUAGCGAGACUGCCGGUGUUAAACCGGAGGAAGGCGGGGACGACGUCAAGUCCUCAUGGCCUUUAUGCCCGGGGUUGCACACGUCAUACAAUGGGAUGGUACAAAGCGACGCAAGACCGCGAGGUGGAGCAAAUCGCAGAAAACAUCCCUCAGUUCGGA
rnacentral:rRNA from 1 species